AGCACAGGCAGACUGGGAGAGGGUCAUUAAUUCUGUAUAAACUAGACUCUGUGUGGUGAGAAGCCUGGUUUUCUUGGAUGUCAUGCAAUGUCUUGUAAGUGCCAGAAAAUGCCACUUUCUUCUUCAUUGAAAAGAACAGUGCUAAGGCCUAAUCCAGGAAGGUGCUGAGCACCAGUGCUAGAAGCCCCUUAAUUUCAACAGGAGUUGUCCAUGUUGAUUUAUGCUCUUUAUGAUUUGUGCAUGCACCUUCAUCUAUUUGGAUGUCUUGGAACAGAUGCUUCCUGAAGGAGGUUCUGCAUCUCAGGCAGCUCUAAUUUAAAGACCAAUCCAAAGAAGAACAAAGCUGGAACACCGAUCAAUUUUUUAAAAAGAGAGGGAGGCAUCUGAGAGAAAGGAACAAGGGGGAAGGUGACAGAUAAGGCCCUAUUCCUGCCAUGAGACCUGCCUAUGUGACAGUGGGGCUCUCCAAGGGUACAGAGGACUGCCUGACUGGCUGUCACUGCAGGAUCAGGCCUCAGAGGACAGCAGUGGACAUAAGAGUUUUUAGGUAUAUAAGCCAGGCAUUGAUCUUUAAAUAUUGCUUAAUAGUGUGAAGGAACAGGCUGAAACAGGUGCCAAAGAGGAGCAAGAGACAGGUAGCAGAAGAUCCAUUUGUCUUGCCCCAGCCGUCCCUCCAUGACAGCAUGGUAGGAAAUCCUACAGGGUUAUUGUGUACCACAUUACAUUGCCUGUGUGGACUCCCUGUAUUUCAUUCUCUGCCUGGUGGAAGAGUGCCAAUUUCAUUUCCUCUGAAGACUUCCAUGUCCAUGGGGAAGGAGUUGCAAAAUCUGCCCCAAUCAUCUUAAAGUUGCUCAGAGGUGUCUCAGUUGAUGAAACCCACUGAAUGUUGACAAAAUAUUUUUCCUAUCUGAAUCCCUGCGGGUUGCAGCGUAUUGUAACUAAGUACAUUUAUAGUGGUAAAAAUCUAAAUGUAUCUUCUGGCUAAUUUGAUAAAGUUUUCAAAAAAGCUGUAUAUUAUUUUAUUGUUGUCACUUUAAUUUUAUUUUAAAACCCAGAGCAUUCAAUUUUAACCACACUUUACAGCCUAUAAAGUGACUUUCUGUUCAAAGAUCUGUUGCAAUAUACAGCCAUCCAGAAAACAGGAUGUUGUAGGUUUUGAGUACUAGAAUGUUGCCAUUUCAUCUUACUCUGCAUUGUUAUUCAUGGAAAUAAAACCUGUAAGAGCAUGUGCAGCCAUAUCUCCCAUUUUAUGUAUUCAUUUUUUAUUUCAGCCACUAAUCUGCUGUAGAUUUCAGCCUUUAGCUUGGGGUUAUUGGAAUGGCAUUGUCGCUGGAUAACAUCUGUUUCAGUUUUCAUCCAUCUAGAAUGCAAGCAUUAAUCACUACAAAUGGAAUGUGAAAUGGAAAGAAGAGUUAAAUGCACAUUUGAUUCUGAACAGUCUCAGAAAAAUGUCUUUCAAGAUCUGUCCAAAUGGAAAACUCCACUAUGAUAUAGUGGGGUUUGCAACUGUGGCUAGAGUUGAAAGCCUAUCACAUUUUCAUUAGAAAUGUCUCCUUCCUGUAGUUUAUAUUAUA